rnacentral:lncRNA from 1 species
GCUCUGCUGCUAAUAACUAGCUCACACCAAGUUCUGAUCUCACUGAUUGGGAAAGAGCUUAAUAGAGCAUGGUGGUUAUGCUCUUGGCCACACAAGCUGGAGUUUAAAUCUCAGCUCCACUUAGUAACGUGGCUAUGUGCUUUAGGUCAGACACUGCAUCUCUUUAGGCUUCCACUUUCUUUUCUGUGAAAUAGAAUGAGGAUGUUUGCUAUACCUGUGUCAGAGUUGACGAGUGGGAAGAAUGGGCUAAUGACGUGCAAAUGCAUCCUAAAGGCCUGUGUUACUCAGUGAAGAUAAAGGUUUAAAAAUUCUAAAAUCCUUAGAAGAGACUUGUAUAAAGGAAACUGAAAAUGCCUGACUAUGGAGUCACCAAUUUAGAGACUAAAAGAAACUUUGGGUUUUCAGUGGCAAAGGGAGAAAGAGAAAGAAGGAUUUCAGCACGCCUGGUGUUGAGUUCUUCACUGUUCUCGUUUAAAGAGCCUGGCCAGAGAGCUUCAGAUGGAUCACUCCAUUCCACAGCCCAGGCAAGAGUGGGACUCAAGAAAGAGCAGCCUUGCUGCUUGUGGAAUAGCUUUAAGGAGCUCCUUUCCAAACAGAUGUGGCCUUGCCUUGGAAACUGGUUAACACAAUAGACUGCCUGGGGUCUGAUAUUCAAUUCUCUUCAGGCUAUAGAAAUGAGAGACUCUUUGGUUGACCUGGCAUUCUGCCAUGUCAAAGAGCCCACUGGAAUCUCUACUUUGCCAUUUGCAGGAAAUGGCAGGAAGUGUAAGAAAAUCUGGAAUCCAGGAACAUUUAAUCACGCCACAUUAUGAGGUCACUCUCUCUGGAUCAGAAAUCUCCCUGGACAACCCACUUCCUGAAAAAUGACUCAGCAAAAGCUCCCAAGAAGAACUGCUCAUGUUUAAUACAAUCGUUCGGGCCAGCGCUUAUUUCUUAUCUAUAAAGUCCCCUUGUGAUUGAUGAUUCAUGUUUCUUUUCAAUUACGGGCUUUGAAUGCAAACUAUUUCUUAAUGUAAACAAAUGGCUUCAGUAUUUAAAGCAAAACAUUUCCGUUUG